rnacentral:rRNA from 1 species
CACGUAGGGGGCGAGCGUUGUCCGGAUUCAUUGGGCGUAAAGAGCGCGUAGGCGGCCCGGAAAGUGGGGUGUGAAAACUCGAGGCUUAACCUCGAGCUGUCGGCGGAAACCAUCUGGCUAGAGUCCGGAAGAGGAGAAUGGAAUUCCCGGUGUAGCGGUGAAAUGCGCAGAUAUCGGGAAGAACACCCGUGGCGAAGGCGGUUCUCUGGGACGGUACUGACGCUGAGACGCGAAAGCGUGGGGAGCGAACAGG